rnacentral:rRNA from 1 species
AAUGAACGUUGGCGGCGUGGAUUAGGCAUGCAAGUCGAACGGGCCGCAAGGCCAGUGGCGGAAGGGUGAGUAAUGCGACGGUAACCAACCCCGGGAAUGGGUAUAGCCGCGGGAAACUGCGGGUAAUCCCCAGCGACGUGUCGAGUCGGCAUCGGCUUGACACCAAAGUUCCGGCGUCCUGGGACGGGCCGUUGUGGUAUUAGCUAGUUGGCGGGGUAACGGCCCACCAAGGCUACGAUGCCUACCGGGCGUGCGAGCGUGGCCCGGCACACUGGGACUGAGACACUGCCCAGACUCCUACGGGAGGCUGCAGUCGAGAAUCUUCGGCAAUGGGCGCAAGCCUGACCGAGCGACGCCGCGUGGAGGACGAAGGCCUUCGGGUUGUAAACUCCUGUCGAGGGGGAGGAAGGCGUAAGCUUGACCGAUCCCUGGAGGAAGCACGGGCUAAGUUCGUGCCAGCAGCCGCGGUAACAC